CCUGUCCAGAGAACCAUACACUCUCAGGAAUACCACCCCCACCACCACCGGAGGAGGAGGAGGAGGACUGGGAAAAGGAGAGCCAAGAGGUCACGCUGAUUGACUGGGAAAAUAACUGUUUUGGCAUCAAUCCCUACGUCGACUCAGCGGCCCAAGUGAAAGGUCCCAUCAGUGAUCUCUGCUGAUAUUCUGACCUCCAAUUCCAGAAGAACUAACCUUGUAUUUCUAUUGCGGCGCUCUAAUAAUAGCGUUGCCUGAGCAACA
ensembl:lncRNA